GAUCAUGGCUCAGGAUGAACGCUAGCUACAGGCUUAACACAUGCAAGUCGAGGGGCAGCAUUUUAGUUUGCUUGCAAACUAAAGAUGGCGACCGGCGCACGGGUGAGUAACACGUAUCCAACCUGCCGAUAACUCAGGGAUAGCCUUUCGAAAGAAGAUUAAUACCUGAUGGCAUAGGAUUAUUCGCAUGAUAAUCUAUUAAAGAAUUUCGGUUUAUUCGAUGGGGAGUGCGUUCCU
rnacentral:rRNA from 1 species